rnacentral:lncRNA from 1 species
CCAAACAAAGGAAGCAUAGCCCUAAUCAACAGGGAAGCAACAUAGAAAAGACGAGAUAACCAACAUAAAAAGCUUAUAAAGGAAAAGCUAAGACCAAUGCACUACACUUGACCCUCUGUUCCAAAGAGAAACCCACAAGCUUUCCUAUAGAAACUGUAGACGUCGGAUAGCAUCAUGGAGACCGGUAAUGAAAUACGUCCGAAGUCUCCAACCGCAACACCAACAGGCAAGAAAGCAAGCUUCACCGAUACCAGGAAAAUAAGAACCACAACAGCCAAACCACACUAAGGCAGACGAGGAAAAAGAGACCAGCUAGGAACAAAGAAAUAAUCUUGAGAUUCGGCUUGAGACAAGUCAAGGAAGAUCAACAGCACUUACACGCGGACACUCGUCGACCCAGUUUAAGCCACCUACAGACAAAAAACUGGUAACCUCCUCGCAAGAGAAGAACAGGAGAUCGUUCCACUGCGACGCCUAGAACCCAACUUCAAACCACAAAGUAGCCAAAGGGAGGGCUAGUAGAUGACUCCGCAACAAAACACCAUCCCAAAGACAAGCACAAACCAAAACCAAGCCAACACCAGAACCACGAAAUGCCAAGAGAGCCCAAAAGAGCAGAAGAGCAAAGGUCACAAAGCCAAACCCAAAAUCAGCUCACACCACAAACUUCACAAAUCAAGCACAAACCCUCGGUUUAUGCCACACAAACACCAACACCAACAAAGCCUUAUCGAAAACACAAUCCAAACAAAUGAUAGACGAGAGAGAACAAAUACCCGACCAAUAGACGAAACGUGCCCGUCUCCUAGAAUCCACCAGCCACAGGACCACCACCAAAACUGAACCACAACCUCGACAAACCCGCAGACCAAACGGACCCGUCACAGACCAAAACCAAUCCUCAACACCGAUGGCUUCCCCUCCUUCAAUCGUCUAUCACCGCAUAUAGGAUUUUGCUGACAAAAACGCAACAACACCGAAAGCAACAGAUCUAAACCAAGCAAUCCAAAGUAAAACGAAGGAGAUGAAGCAAAGAACUCGACAUAGGAAGCAACGAAAACUCCGUCACCCACCAACCACCGAAUCCCUCAUCAACCAAAAUCCACCUUUGAAAUUACCCUUGAAACAAAAGAAAACGCAAACUAACAACCAAACUAAAAACAAGACAAAGAUCUACACCCUCCCACAGCUCCGGCGAGAAGCCCGGCCGCCGGGGAGGUCUAAUCGGAGAAAUUGAAGGAUGGGCGGCGGCUAGGGUAUUUGUCGAGAGAGAAAAGGAAAAAAGGGGACCAGAACCUUAGAAAAGUAGUCUAUAUAUUAGAAAAGUAUUCAU